rnacentral:rRNA from 1 species
AGUGAACGCUGGCGGUAGGCCUAACACAUGCAAGUCGAACGGCAGCACAGUAAGAGCUUGCUCUUACGUGUGGCGAGCGGCGGACGGGUGAGGUAUACAUCGGACUCUAUUUUUUCGUGGGGUAUAACGUAGGGAAACUUACGCUAAUACCGCAUACUCCCUACGGGUGAAAGCAGGGGCUCUUCGGACCUUGCGCGAUUGAGUGAGCCGAUGUCGGAUUGGCUAGUUGGCGGGGUAAAGGCACACCAAGGCCACGCUCCGUCGCUGGUCUGAGGGGAUGAUAAGCACACUGGAACUGAGACACGGUCCAGACUCCUACGGGAGGCAGCAGUGGGGAAUAUUGGACAAUGGGCGCAAGCCUGAUCCAGCCAUACCGCGUGGGUGAAGAAGGCCUUCGGGUUGUAAAGCCCUUUUGUUGGGAAAGAAAAGCAGAAGGUUAAUACCCCGCUGUUCUGACGGUACCCAAAGAAUAAGCACCGGCUAACUUCGUG